rnacentral:rRNA from 1 species
ACCUUCGGGUUGUAAAGCACUUUCAGUAGGGAGGAAGGUAGUGUAGUUAACACCUGCAUUAUUUGAGUUACCUACAGAAGAAGCACCGGCUAACUCCGUGCCAGCAGCCGCGGUAAUACGGAGGGUGCGAGCGUUAAUCGGAAUUACUGGGCGUAAAGCGCAUGCAGGCGGCCUGUUAAGUCAGAUGUGAAAGCCCGGGGCUUAACCUCGGAAUUGCAUUUGAAACUGGCAGGCUAGAGUCUUGUAGAGGGGGGUAGGAAUUUCAGGUGUAGCGGUGAAAUGCGUAGAGAUCUGAAGGAAUACCAGUGGCGAAGGCGGCCCCCUGGACAAAGACUGACGCUCAGAUGCGAAAGCGUGGGGAGCAAACAGGAUUAGAUACCCUGGUAG